GAGUUCCCUCCCCGAGCAGCCCGUCCCGUCCCGUCCCGGGAGACAGAGCGGGGACGUGGGGGCGGCUCUCAGGCGGACUCCGGCCCAAGGCUGCUUGGCAGCAGCGUGGCCACGUCUGGGCUUCUUUAGAAGGCGCUUUGGUCGCCAGGGAGUUGCAGGGCUCUGGGCUCCUUUUAUUUGGCGGUUGCUUAUUUGGGCUGUUUUGUACUGGGCGACUUGAAGGCACAGUUAGUUUAAAACGGGUGUACCGAGUAGGCGUGGUGUUGGGUCUCUGCACAGGCACUUCUCCGUCCCCCCUCCCCUUACAGUUAGGAAAAACACACCCAAAUUCAUGAACUUUCUGGCCCGCCCACGUGCCAGUUUUUUGUCCCACACUUGGGGUGCGCUUCAUCCGUUCAACACAGAACUGUACCACAUUGAGGCAAGAGACCCCGGGGGAUGGAGAGAGGGUUUUUUAAUAACAGCCAGCUCAGCAGCCCUCCCUGUAAGAAAUCAGCAGGGAAUCACCCACUAUGCAUAGAGAAGAGUGCAUCUCUGUCCUAAUAUUACAGGACUUAAGCUUUGAACAAAGAGAGAAUUUUCUGAGAACUUACAGAACCAGAUAAUGAAGAAGACUGGGACACCACCAGACUUAUGCAGAGGUCAGAGAUACAACUCAGAGGAAAGGAAAAGUACAUGAUUCCAGAUCCAGUCUGCCCCUACUCCUGCUGCCGUGAGUAAAAUGGUAGGCUUCAAAGGUACUUGGCCUGUCUGCCUUUCCUCUUCUCUAAUAUUCCUUAAUAUAUAUGGCAGCAAGUACAACUCUGAUGUACAGGCACUGGCUGUAUUCUUCAACUCUCUCUCCGCCCCUUUCCCUCACAGUCUCUUCAACUCAGCCUUACUCCAUAUUUGCCUUUCGUAUUGUCCCUCCUUCCUCUUCAGUGUUCCCUCUCACCCCACCAUCUAGCUUAUCCCUGCCUAACUAAACCCACCCAAACAUGAAAUAAUGGAACUAAGUGACAUUUGUUGCUAUCACAUUGUAUGUGCAUUAUAUCCCUUUCCCUACCCUUCAUGUGUCUUUUUUAUUUAGACUGUAAACUUUUCAGGGCAAAGACUGUCUACUACUCUGUCCAAUGCUUAACACCUUGGACCGCCAUUCUUGGUUGUCCCGUAGGCACUACCAUAAUAAAGCUGAUUAAAUAAUAAUAAUGGAACAAGGGAACCUGUGAGAGGAAGGACUGCAAGGUGGAGUGGACAAGCAUCGACUAAUUCAUCCCAGCACAAGGGUGCAACCAACAGAAAUAUUGGGAAUCUCUGGCCUACUGCAAAGUGCAGUCUGACCCAUUUAUUCUCUGAGCUGGAAAUCAGAAAUCCUUUUUCAGUUUCAAUCCUGUUCAAAUCCCCCAUAAUCAUAUUUUUUUUAUUUCAAAAGGCCUGAUUUACAUCAAUUCCUUUCCAUAGAGUUAUUUCUUUCACUGGAAUAACAUGAAUUUUUACUCACCUGGAUUCUCUUGAAUCACAGACUCAGUUAAACCCCCAUGCGCUUCAGUGAUGCAGAAUAAUCAGGCACUAAUAGCACUAGCUAGAGUAAGUAAAUGCCUCAACUGCCAAAGCUUCCCCUACAAAGCUUUGUUAAUAUACAUCAUAUUUUACUUGAACCAGCCUGUUAUUUCAGUCCUGGGCCUGGUUGGAGGAAAGAUGACCAGCUACUCCACAUUUCAACUCUGUGCAACCUUAUCUUGACCUUCUUGGCCCAGAUCUUCAAAGGUGUUUAAGCUCCUAGCUUCCAUCGAUUUCAAUAGAAAUUAGGAGCCUCAGUGCUUUGAGGAUCUGGGCCCUUGGCCUUGUGUGUAUUCAUUAGCACAGUCUAUAUUUCCAGGAUCACAUACUAUUUUUUCCAUAGGAUCCCUGUCUCAUUCAGUGCACAGAAUGGACCUGCUCUGUGGAUGAAUCAGGGUUAUGUAGUGAAGCAGGUUGUUGUCUGUGGUACUCAUGCAUCAUUUGUUCAGAAGCGAAGGUUUGUAAUAAAUGAGGAUUGUACCCAAAAAAUGGUUAAAGUGAUUAAAUGCUGGUCUGUAGAGUUAGAUUCUAUCCUUGCCUCUACCACAGAGUUCCUUGGUGAUGCUGGGCAAGCUACUUAAACCAAACUUUUCACAGGUGGUCACAAAUGCUUCAGUUUCUUGGUGCCUGGUGUGACAUCCUGGGUUCUGAUUUGCAGAAGUACCGAGCACUCACAUCUGCAACUGAAGUCUUGGGAGCUGUACUCUGAACAUAUGAAGUGUGAUAUGCUAAGUACUUCGAAAAAUCAGGUCCUAAAUGUCUCAGAGUAGGCACCCAAAAUUAGUAGAUAUUUCUGACCCUAAUCUCUCUGUACCUCAGUCAGUUCCACAAGUGUAAAAAGGGGGAUAAUAAUACCCUCUCAUCUCACAGAAGUGUUGUGAAAUAAAUACACACACACACACACACAUUUUUUUGAAGCACAAAGAUACUGUAGAAAAGCCUAUGAGGAAAUUAAUAAUUCUGUCUUCAGAGCAGGGUUUGGAUAGUGUGCAGUAAAAAAAGGCAUGGGCCACACAUUAAACAAGGAGAAAACUAAAUAUUGAAUAGCAUCCAUCCCCUGUACUGAAUGUGGUUGGGAUCCUGUGGAAAAAAUAGUAUGAGAUCAUGUAAUUAAAGACAGUAUCAUAAUGGAUACACACAAGGGUGCUGAAUUAAACUUGCAGAGUCAACAGUAAUCCUGGCAUUUCCAACAGUUCAGUGCUUAACUUAAUAAUGUUCUUUUAAGGUAGUUUUUUGUGUGCAGUGGCUUCUCCACAAUGCGAUAUCUACAUACCUGAACCUGGACAGACUAUCUUUUCAUUACAUGCCAGUACUGUUCUGGGAUAACAGACCCUUGGAUUCCAGUCCUCACAAGUGUUCACACUCACGCUGUUAACAUCCUUGAUGUUGUUAUUGUUGAGUCUAUAUGUAUCUAGUAAUGUAGUGGGGUAAAGACAUGCACCUAGAUUCUUUACUAUGCCUGUCAGUGUCAAACGGUUGAAUACUAAAAAACUGUAUAGAGGUUUAUUUGUUCAACAAAAUCUACCAUGACACAUCUAGAGCUUGAUCAACUUUGUACCUCUGUACAGCCACCAAGGAAUAAAUUUAACACGUAACACAAUGCAGAAAAUGAAUAUGAUCCUAAUGUAAAAAAAUAAUAAGACAAGUGUUUCCAUUAGAAGCUGAAACUUUUAUUACAGGAUAACAGUACAUAAAGCACAUCUAAAAUUGAUGUGUUCAAUGCACUUAAUAAAGGUAAUGUAAUAUUAAAGGUACAAGUUUCUAAGUACAAUAUAACAACAUUCAUAUUAGAAUGAAAAUUGGAGUAUUUAAAAGACAACAUUAAAUCUCUUAUUUUUACAGUUGUAUUUACAAAAUGAAUCAAAAUACUUUUUCAGGACUCAGAGUAAAAUAAACUGUUGAAUAUAAGCAGACUAUUGUAAGAGUGAGUUUAAAAGAAGAUUCAAGAAAGUGAAAAGUUAGGUGAUAAUGGGUAAAGAUCAUUAGCAAAGUUUUAAUACAAUACAUUUUAACAUUUCUCUUGAUGGCUUAUACUUUUAUUGUGGCUAGAAAAGGAAUUUUUACAUACUGUACACAUUUACAUGUACAGUAUAAUUUCAUUUAAACUUGCAUGUAUUUACAGAAAAAUGAGUAUUACUCAAUGAGGUUUGUGAAGUUCAUGUGCUUAAUCAUCAAACCAACACACAUUUGUAAUCAGCACUUAUUCUGAUCUCUUUACUUUAAACAUUUAGUUACAGGAGAAAAUAUUACCAGAGGGUUUUGCAUAAUUUAUAUAACAACUAAACUUAAACAAUCAGGGAGAACAUUUUCCUAGCAUAAAGUUUAUGAUGUAUAUGUUAGCAGAUAAAAAUUUAAGAGAUCCUCCAUUGAUUGCUGUUUGAAAGUAUCAAAAGGUGAUGUAAAUCAACAAGGGAUUUAGAAAUAAAAUCAUCAUGGCUUGUAUUUAAAUAAGACUAACUCUGAAGGUUUUAAAAGUAAUUGUCCUGAUAGUGUUUGUAAUUAAACUUUCUACUUAUGAAAAUAUACCCAUGGUGCAGUAAAGUUUGUGUUUAUUUUCAGGACAAUAGUAUGUUACUGUAAAAAAAAAAAAAAAUUUUCCUUGGAUUGAGGGUACAAAACCAGUGCAUGGAAGCCAAGAAUCAUGGCUUUAAAAUUCACUACCUUCUGUUAUCAAAAAGUGCAGUAAACAGAAACAUUAUCUUUAAUAAAUUGCUCAAAAAUCUUUGCUAAAGAUCUUAUAAAUUCAGUAAUAUUACAGAAAAAUUCUAAUAAAUAUUUAAAAAGGUUAAUUACCUCAGAUAUUUGAUAUCCAUCAAUUUUGUAAGAACUUAAAUGACAAUAUUCGUGGGAGGAGAGAGUUGAAGCGAAGAGUAACUCCAAGAAGUAUGAUUUCUAGAUAAAUAAAGGUAUGUAUAAAAAUUAAGAAAAUAUCAAGUUCUAUGACUGACUGACUUCCACAAACUCCAUUUCUGCAUUAACUUUAGGUGUCAAAGUCCAUCCUUGAACAUGCAUGUGUCAUUUUAAUGAGAAUCACGUAUGCAUAUAUAAGGUCAGAAUUUGGACAUCAAUGUUUCAUGAAAGAUUUACAGAACAUUCCCAUUGACAAUAACUGCAAUUAGGCAUAUAGGCAUGAUCAUGUGACUUCUGGAAUGGGGCGUGCCCUCCAUUCCUGUUAGAUUUAGGGGGAAGAAGGCACCCAGCACUUAGCAGGUUUAGGUCUAUAUCUAUAUAUCUAUAUCUCACAUGGACUAACUGGAAAAGAGAUCCCCCAAAUAACUACCUACUUCAACCCUUAAACUAGACAGCAUUUUAUACUGGGGAACUGGCUACAUACUUUUUCAUAUGAUAUGAUAUGCAGUGAAAGCAUUUUAGCAACCCAAUGGAUAAUAAACAGGACAUAGCACAUUUAUCAUAAUAUGAACAUAGAAAAAUAUUUGAUAUCAAAUAUCUAUUCUGUUGAAGUAAUUUUCUCCUCAUUAAAUAUACUACAGAAUAAUUUAUAUAAUGGUACUAUGUAUUUAAAGAGAAAAAACAGGUCCCAAAUCUAGUACUCUGAUACAGGUACUUGUUGGGCAUAUGUAGAUCAUAUAUAUAUAUAUAUAUAUAUAUAUAUAUGCGUGUGUGUAUGUGUGUGUGUGUGUGUGUAUGUAUAUAUGUACACACACAUACACACACACACACAUAUAUAUGUUAUAGACAGUGAAAUUAACAAGACCCAAGGUGGUAUUGUCUAGGAAUAAAAGGGGUUUGUUUUUUUGUUCACAAAAGUAACUUAUCUAGCACCACACAUCAGAAAAAACACAAAAAUAGCACACUCUAGUUCUAAACAGCUAUGUCUAAAAUAGAUUAUAUAGUAAAACAGAUAUUAUACAGCAUAAUGUGGUAUUUGAUAAACAGAUAAAUAUUUGCACUGUGUAGGCUGUUUAUAGCAUAACUUUAUCUAUACAGAAUGAAAGCAAAAAGUUAACCGUAUAGAGGUGAGCAGAACAACAUUAAAUAUUAUGACUCAAAAGCAGAGACAAAGAUAAAGUUGAAAGAACAGAGCAAGAGAAAAUGUUUACAGGCCAUUACAAAUCCUUAAAUUAGUAGUAAAAUAAGGAAUUGGUUGCUGAAGUUUAAGAAAGCAGUAAACAAGAGAUUGCAUUUACAUGCAGAUGUCUAAAAUUUGUAUUUCUUUUUAAAUCUAUGCACAAAAAGUCAUUUGUUUUUAUUGCUUGACAUUCAAUUAUGGCUAGAGUAUUUUUAACCUUCUUUUUGUACUUUGGAAACAAGAAUAUGUUAAAGGUGCCAUAAAAAUGGACAACAUUGAAAUCAGUUUGCAAAUAAACCUCCUAACACUGCAGUUCUUUAUACAUUUUAAAAAGCCUUGUCUGGGGUUUGUCAUAUGUUAAAUAUAUUUAAAUUGGGAAAAUACACUGUAGCUUGAAGCCUCCCAUUGGCCCAAACAUCCAAUACAAAAACACAUCUCCAUAAAAGGAGCAGGCAGACAAUACAGUUACAUAUAAAGAAGCAGCCAGCUAAUGUCCUAAUAGUCAAAAUAUUUACCACUGUUCUUUCUAUAAAUUGUUUCAAAAUUAAACACAAAAAAUGAGGAAAAAUUUGGAUUUAGAAAGAUAUUUACAGUACAUAUGCCUUUUGUGAAAUAAAAUUCACUGUAUUGCUUAUGAAUUCUCUGCAUUUAGGUAUUAUAUAAUUAAAGAGAUUGCAAGUGCUUGUAAAAUUUAUGCAUCUAUAUUAAGAUAGUUUAGGGGGAAUUCAGUAUAUUAAGCAGUUACAAACAUGGAAAGCAUGCGGAUAUUGCCUAAAAAUAAAGUCUGAUGUCAUAUAUAUUAUGCCAAGCUAAACAACUUUCUUGUGAAGUGAAGCUCCAGAAGGUAAUGAGAUUUUGAGGAAAGAUAUCCAAGUGAAUAUUGAGGCAGCAAAAUCUAAAUGUAAAGAGUGUAUAUUGAUUGCCUGCAUAGUCAGAAUAUUUCAUACAUUUUUAUUUUCACAAUGUAAAGGGGCUAAACAUUUCAUGUGGCAUCAUGUUUUAUUUCAUAUGUGGUUAGUCUACUUAUUGCUCUAGAAGGUUAUUGCUAUAUUCUACCUCUAAUAAAGGCCAAAAACCCCAAACCCUCUGUCACUUGUCACUGGCAAUUCCACAUACGGAAUAUAAAGGUAGAAUACAGCUUUUAUUAUGUUAAAAUUCCUUUAAAUACCUGAAUAAAGUUCAAAGAAUGGAGUAGAUACUAGCAAUUAUCCUUUUAUUAAAUGUUAUAUAUUUUCCCUCUUUACCUGGUGUCUUAACAGCAUUAUAUUGGGCUGCUAUGGUACACAGUAAUGGGAGCUGAGCGAAUACUGCAGAUAUUUUUCUAUAAAUGGUUAUUUCAAUUUUUAAAAUUAAUUUUUUCUAUUGCAUUUGGCUUCCUUGUAUGUUUGCUUUCCCUGAACAUUCCACCAAAUAAUUUAAGUGGCAGGAAUAUUCAAGCAAAUGUCACACUAAUAUUCAAACAUGUUCAUAGAAGGUGAAUUUUAAAGUAAUGAAUAUUAAUCAUAAAAAUCCAAUUCUAAGAGGUGCACUCCUCCAAUUAGGAAAAAGAAAUAUACUGAGUGUCCUAGGUGUCACAAUCAAAACCAGCCAACACAGCUAAAAUUUCAAAUAUUGAAUACUCAGAGAAAACUCCUUAUCACUAAUUAUUUCAGAUUAUUAUACAGUAAUUUUUUCCUACAACAAUUAUUGAUAAAAUCCAUUAUCUGCCUGUGGGAGACUCAGAUACAGAGCUAAACUGUAGAAUAAAUGAUUAAUUACAAACUGUGUGCACAGUUUUAGUAGUAACCCGGUUUCUGUAUCCGUUUAAGAGACUCUGAAGACUAGGGAAGGUCUAAGCCAAUCAUUAGUAGAGCUGGGCAAAUUUUUUUUGACCCAAACUUUUUUUUUGAGAAAUAUGCAGACUUGUUUUUGUGAACUCAUGUUGAUUUGGUUGCAUUGUUUGCUUUGGAAUACAUAUAUUUUUAAAAUCCAAAUACUUUGACAUUUCUGAAAAAAAAUUGUCUCAGUUGAAAAUGACUUUUGAAAUUUGUUUUAAUUUUAUUUUAAAAUAUUCAAGCAUUUUUAAAAACUUUUUGAUUUGCCAAAAAUUUCAAACAUUUUCAUUGUCAGUCUAAUCCAAACGAUUUUUUCCCUCUGACUGCUCAAAAUUGCUAACGAAUCAAAAAAUCCAUUGUUUACCCUUUAUCAUCAGAGAGUCCAGGAAAAUACAUGCACCAAUGUCUGGGGCACUGAAAUAUAGAGGUAAAAUUUAUCUUGUAAACUGUACACAUUGAACAGAAGUUGUGAAUGACUUGCAAAUAUGAACAGAAGGAUGUCAACCAUUUCAGUAAAUAUCUUUAGACCUCUACCUUAGUCUUUACUCGUUUAGGAUCAGCAUUAGGGAUUCUCUUCUAACAAAAAUAAAAGAGAAUGAGAUCUGAUCAAGAGACCAACCUUCUUAGGCAAUUUCCUGUCUUAAAACUAAACCUGCAUGCAUUAGAAAAUCAACUGCAUAAGCUUGUAGAGUGGUUACUUUAGACAGAUUUCACUAGAUUUAUUUUUUUACAUAAAUGUGGAAUUGGGAUUCGUGUUAUACAAGCGAAGAAAAAAUGAAAACUCCCAAGAAAAUGGAGAAAUGAUGCUUUUUAAAAGAAUAAUUUAAAUCACAUAGGUACAAAAGAAAGCAAAGCAACUCCAUCAAUUCUGCAGGGCUUCCAGAACCCAAUAUAGACAUACUGUAUUUGAAAAAUCUUACACUAAAUCCAUAAAGUUUUGGCAUUGACAGAUUAGACUUUUCUGUUUCCUGCUACUACUGCAAUUGCUGUAAGACUUAGAUGUGGAAAUGCAAAGAUGUAGGUGGCUACAGUGCUUCUUUAAAUGACAUAUUUUUGGUUUACAGUGAAGCACAUAGAGCAACAGCAGGGAAGGUCUAAUAACUUGUUCUCCUGGUAUUCUUCUGGUUUUAAUGGUGUUCUGUGCUAUAUGACUCAAUGUAAAGAUUGAAUAAUCAUAGCAUUUCCACGCAUAUUAUAGUGCAUAUGAAAAACUGAGUUCUCUUUGAUAAUUAUAAUUUAAACAUUGAAGAUUCAUUUUUUGUUACAAAACACUCCUAUGAUUAAAAAAUGAUGAACAGUGGGUCCUGAAAUGAAAUUUGAAUAAUGAUUUGUUUUCCAAGAAUGUUUACAAAAUUCUGUGUGAUUUUUAAAGUUCUAUUUCUUCCUUUCUUUAAUUUUUCAUUAAAUAAGACUGAUGAGCAAUAGGCUGGAAACUCAAAUGAGGCACACAUGGAGAGUUUAGACACAUAAGAGUUCUACACAGUUCACUUGUGCCUUGGAGGGAUGAUGAUACAUUUUUCAAAAAGCAAUUUGUCCCAGUAAUACUGGCCACCCUGUUGAAGAGUUUUAGUUGAUCCCUGAGCACAUUAGUUUCUGACUCUUAAACCCAACUCUGAAAUAAUAGGGCUUCUAGUGUUGAUAACAAGAUGGAUUGUCAUUCACAGUUAAGUCAAUCAUAAGGUGCUUAUUUAUUUACCCUUUUCGUCACCAAUCAGCACAAAGAACUGUCAGAAAAUAACUUUUAUUUCUCUUUUUAAAUAAAAGAAGGGCACAAAAUGAUUAAACAAUUUUUAUGACAGUGGCUUUAGGAUUAUUAUCUGGCUGCCCCUCGACAACAAACAAGUGAUUCAAUCGACAUUCCUUAGGAAAAAAAAGUAAAAAAAAAAUCCUGUACAAAUAUGUAUUUUUCCCUGAGGGAUAAGGUUACACCCGCAAGUGCUCUAUGUACAUAUUGCACUAUAGAGGAAUGAAGAACAUGUGCAAAAAAGCAACAAUGAUCAAAGCUUACUAAUCAAUCCUUGUAAUCAUGAUUCUGCUAUGUUGUCUUGCAUUUUGGAAUGUCGUAACACAAAUAGCUAUAUUCCUUUAAUUAAAAACAUAAAAAAAAAGAGGAGGAAAUAAAACAAACCCCCCACACCUCUACUAUGGCACAUUCAAUGAAAUAAAAAGUUUUCCAAAGACAAAUAGACAAAUUCCAUCAACAAAGUAAUACAAAGUUCGUUCUUUUGUUUUUUGUUUUUGUUUUUUAGAAAAAUUACAUUACUUUCUUUCAUUGUUUCACAUUACAAAAUCUUUUUUUUAUCUUUACACAAAUCACAUUUUAUUGCAGGAAUAUUUCAAGUGCCAUCAAAUAUUUAUAGAAGGGUUAAAAAAAUAGAAGUCUCUCUAAAGUGGUCCAGACAAGGCUUUGUAUAGAAUAAAUCUUUUUUCCACCUUCUAUUUUUGAGUUAAGUAUUUUGAAUACAUUUUUUUAUUCCACUGACAGCCUAGAAGCAGACACACACACAUUCAUGCAUGUGUGCACACGUGCAUGCGCACACACACUCAGACCUUGGUCUCCAUACUAUGAUACAUAAACUUUAUAAAGAAAAACCAAACUUAAGAACAGCAUCUCACACCACCUCAUCCAAUAGUUAUUAAAAAGAUGAACAGCAUCAGUCACAAAAGUACAUCAGAGUGGACCAACUGACACUGUACAGUAGUACCUCUUCUUUAAGAAAGCUUGAGAAUGUUUCUUUGCCUUAGAACAGAAAACUGGAUAGAUGUCAACAACCCAAGACAAUUUCUUUACAAAUUAUAAGGAACAGCUCACUUAAGAGGAAUAAUUAUUCCAAUAUCUUCAGCUAUUCUCUGUAAUGUCACUUUUUUUUGUGGUAGUGAGUUGGGAAGACUAUGAAAGUUUCAUACAUCUGACAUUCAUUCACAGAGCAUGAAUGUGUAUUUCAACUUGAUAUACUGCUGAACUUCUGGUCUUAGGCCCUACUCUCAGAUGUUCUUAACAGACAUAAGUCAUCUGCCAAUGUCCUGUUCCUAUACUGUAGAUUCAUUAUGACUAGCUAUAUUUAGAAUCAUUCAACAUCCCCUCACAAAAAGGCUCUUUGGCAGCAGUAGUCUUUAAGUACAUCUACCGCCCUGUUAUCCUCAGAAAAAAAAUCAGCCAUCUUGACUACUAACAGUGAUUAGGAAAGCACACUUAUGUCAGGUGUACACUAAUGGCCUGAUUUUACAAGGUGCUGAGCACUCAGCAGCUCCCACUAAAGACAGUGAGAGCUGUGAGGGGUGCAACAUUUUUGAAAAUCAGACCACAAGUUAUACGGCUUUCAGUUAGGGCUCUACUUGGCUUCUGGAGCAAACGUAAUUGCUCCUGCAAUUUUGUGUUCCCAAACAGUUGCAUCUAGUAGCUAGAUGUCAAAUAUCCCAUCUGUUUGCACUCACAGACCAGGUAAAGUACUAUUUACCAGAAAAAAAAGAAGGUAAUGACAGAAAAAGGCCCAAAAUAUUUAGCACGGUUACCUUACUUACUGUCAAAAACAGGGUUUGUCUCUCACUCCCUGGAAAAGGUCAAGUCUUACUUACAUUAGCUGACACUGGAAUUAAGUUUAGUUGAUCUUUAAGGGGCUAGCACCUGAGGCUGGUCACAUUCAGAAAUCUUUUGUUAGUAAAAAGCCUGCUUUAAAUUAAAUCCACAAAUGCAAAGAUCAGAAUGGAAAUGCCACAGCAGACUAGUUAUUCCAAUAAAGUAAACAAUGAUUCCAGAAAACGCAAACUAAAAAGAACUGAGAGAUGCAUUUGACUGUUUUUAGCAGAUACAUUUUUCUGGGUCAUUUUAAAGAUUAGGGGCUCAGUCCAAAGCUCCUUGCUUUGAUUGUAAGGGGCUCUGGAUCGAAUCCUUGAUGGUGAAUGACUCUUGUGGGGGGCAUGCAGGAGGGAAUGAAUGGUGAAUGCUAUACUCCUCCAUGCUCUUUGACAAUGCCCACGCAUAACUUCAGCUUUUGCAUUCAUGAAAGUACAGGGACUUCUCCCUAAGUCUCCAUGGGCACAUCACUGUGAAGCAGGUGUAGAGAAGGUGAAGCAUUGUCCCAUCUCUGUCAGCUAGCAGAGCAGGGUAGGGACACUAGGGAAGUAGAAUGUGCCAUCGGAGGCACAAUCCAUUAGAGUGUAGCAGCUCCAUACAGACCCCAAUGUGGGUUGCUGGUUAAAUGCAAUAAUUCAAGCCUAAGUGAGAGAUGCUCAAAUUAUAAAAAAGGGAACACUUUAUUUUGCCCAUAAUAACCCAUUAUCCUAAUUCUCCCCUUAAAACAGUUUUACAUCUGUGUAGCUCCAUCUUCUCCAAUUACUCCUCAGUUAACACAGUGUGAGAGGAGCAUUAGGCCCCAUAGAUUUAAAGAGACACAGUCAACUUGAAAAUCAUCUGUCUUGAGGGUUUUUUUCUUAAUAGUUACUGGCUACAACUACAGUGACUACAAAUGAAAUAUUAGUGAAAAAAUAUUCCUCUGUCUUAUUAGUUUACUUUGUCUAUAUACAAAAAACUGUCAUAUGCACAAUUUCACUGUUUUCCAUACCCAGUUAGUUUCUACUUUGCUGAAAAGGCCCUUAUUAACCUUAACGAACAGAGAAGCAUAAAACCUUAAGAAUUUUAAUAAAACAAAACAGGCAAUGCUAUUUAAAAAUGUACUCUAUACAAAUGAAUUUGAAAGACAAAAAACUUAAUUUUAUUAACAUUCAAGUUGGCAGUGUCCCUUUAACACAAUGUGUUGGAAUGACUGCUAUUAAUUGUUAAAGUGCAGAGGCUUCAAUUUGUCCAGGUAAAUAUACCAUUCCUGCCAUUUCAGGUUUAAAGAAAAAAAGGAUUAAGUAGGUUUACCUGGGAAGUUGUUUAGGUAUUUUAUAUAUAUACUUUACCACACAGAUUAGUCACACACCAAAAUCUUUUAUUUAAAUCUCUCUCCCUAUCUCCUUCCUACACUAAAAAGAAAAAAAAGUGAUCAUAGGAAAAGGAGCAGGGGCUGGAUGGGUAGUGUAAAAGCAAUUACAGUGUGAUCUUAUACUCACACCAACCUUAGAAAAUAAAGUUAUUCAUAUUUUGGAGCAUGCUGCCACUUCACAAGGUCUUUGGGGCAUGAGCUCCCUUUAUUAUAUCUUUGUACAGUGCCUAGCAGAAUAUGGUGAUAGCCCUUAGGUGCUACUCCAAUAUGUUAAUAACUUUAAGAAACUGUCUAUAUGGGAAAAUGCAAAGUUUCACUUUGCUUCCAUAUAGCCCCAAUUCAACACCCCAGUUGCUUCCAAUUCAAAGGAGACGGUUCCAGCUUUGCAGUGACUAUUAAAUGCCAUUUCAGGCAAGCCACAGCUGCAUAACACUUCUAACAUGGGUGUAGACAACCGGGGACUAAACAUUUAGGGAUUGCAUUAAUAAAUAAAGAAAACUGAAUUUUGAACAGAUUGUACAUCUCACUUUAUAAUAAGUGGAUAAAUUUAAUCCAAAAUGACUCAAAGUGAUAGUGGUUAUAUUAUGAUGUUUUAUCUCUGGCUUCCCAUAUAAAACAGAAGUUGUCUACACUCCUGUCAGGCUUCAUCCAAUCUCAGAAGUACCAUCGGAAUGACACUGAGGCAGAAAUUGGCUUUCCAGUGGCUGACUGAGGGCAGAGAGUUAGCCAAAGAAGAAUUCCUGGAUUAACAUUCUGGUUCAAUUGAGCUGGAAGAUCAGGCUGCAAUCCUAAAACUACUCUUCCAAAUAAAUAUAGGGAAUGCUCCCUUCUCGUUCAAGCUAGAUAACGUACCCUUAACGUUGUUUAAUAUGGCUCUCUCAUUCAGAAUUUAAUAUUUUUAAUUCUGACUUUUCUCCUCCUUUGGGACAAAAUUCUGCCAUCCAUAUUCAGGCAAAACUCCUUGUAUAGGGAAUGGUAAUUUGCAUAAAUAAAGACUGCAGAAUUUGGCCCCUGAUUAGUAUAAUGCAUGGAUCACAAUCAUUUUUGGAAUUACACAACGUAUGUUUAUCAUCUUACUGCUCAUUCUAUAGUCCACUCUCAUGAUUUUCAGGUUUCAUGUAGAAUAUAAAAUGUCUGCUUUCUACCAAAAGGAUUGUGCCUUUAUUUUAUCAGUUUGCACUUAUUUGAUAAGCCUUAGAGAGUGCUUCUUUCCAAAUAAACCUAGCUGUUUCUAGAGCCAUACAUAUGUGCUCUAAAAGCAAAGGACUUCUCUGUUGUGCUGUGCUGGAGAAAAUUGCUGGAUUUUGAAAAACAGCCUGCUGAAGUCAAUAACAAAAUUCUCAGUGACUUCAAUGGGACUACGCUUUUGCUUUAAGUGCAUUGUUUACCAUGUGGAGUUUAAAAGUAUGUAACAGUAUAUAUAACAUACUCUUAUAUAUUUGUGUAUGUGUAUAUAUUACACUCUGGUCAACAUUUUCAAACAUGGGUUCAUAGAGUUGGGCAUCCAUACCCAUAUUUAUACACCACAAUUAAA